UACAACCACCGUGUUUUUUUUUUUUUUUUCAAAAUAAAAAUCCUCAAUCGACACGGAUAACUCCCAGAUUCACCCUUUCUUUCCCUAUUUUAUCUCUCUCUCUCUUCAAUCAAACCGCACCCUAGAGACCGAUCUCUAACAGGAGGAGAGAAGAAGGUGUGAUUAGUAAAAUAUGGCUGAUGAAAGGAGAGUGCAUCCUGAUUGCAUAAAUGCGUCGAAUCCUUACCACGAAUGUGUCGAAUAUUGCUUUAUAAAAAUCGCAGAAGCGAAAGCACGUGCGGAGAUUAAAGAGACAGAAGUUGUGCAAGCAAAAGGUGGAAUUGGUUGGUCUAGUUCACAAGCUCCUGAGCAAGGUGAAGAGCUUGAUGAAGAAAGACCAGAUCAUGAACAUUCAGAAGAUGAUGAUGACCGUGCUGUACUGGAUAAUGUGGAGGGAGAUGUAACACAACUUACUGGGAGAAAGAAAAAGUUGUUUGAGUUGAGACUUAAGAUGAAUGAGGCAAGAAAAGCCAAUCAAACUGCUAUGGUAUCUGAAAAAAAGAAAAUGGAAGCUCCUUCAGAAUCAAGGGGCAUUUCUAAACAGAAAUGGCUAGAGGACAGGAAGAAAAAGAUAGGCAAGCUUCUAGAUGCAAAUGGCUUGGACAUGACAAAGGCAUACAUGCUAGACACACAAGAGGCAGCAGAGGUAAAAUACAAGAAAUGGGAGAAGGAUCCUGCGCCAUUUGGUUGGGAUGUUUUCAAUCAGAAGACACUAUACAAUGCAUAUAAAAAACGGACCAAGAAUGUUGAUGUUGACCUAGAAGAAUAUAACAAAAUGAAAGAAGCUGAUCCUGAGUUCUACCGUGAAGCCUCAAGCCUUCAAUAUGGAAAGGCUCCAAAGACUUCUGAGGAAAAGAUUGAAAGGAUGGUAAAGGAACUCAAGGACCGGGACGAGAAUCGGAAGUCAUUUAGCCGAAGGAGGAGAUUCCGAGAUGAGAAGGAUAUUGACUCAAUCAAUGACCGAAAUGAACAUUUCAACAAGAAAAUUGAGCGUGCCUUUGGUAAAUACACACUGGAGAUCAAGAAUAAUCUUGAGCGAGGAACUGCAUUGCCUGACUAAGGUAUAUGGUCAUUGCAAUGCUUUGUAUGUUGUUGUGGCAUGGUCUAAUUGAAGAAUACAUCUUGCACCUAAGGUUCUCUUCAAACAGCUGAUUAUGAAAUUCAAGGGGCUGAGGAUCUACGGCAGUUGGACAUAUCCUCGCUUGAGAGUGUUGAAACAGACUAAGAAGUACUCUCCAUACCUGGAGUCGAGAUAUUUGCUAUUUUGUUGUAAUUUGAUUGAAGUACUUAGCCAUAAAAUAGCUCGGUGAAUCAUGUAGGUUGAAUCUUCUAGAGACGCAGAUUGGCAUUCCAUGCCGAAAGGGAUGUCUAUGCCUUGUCCAAAUAUACAAUUAUUUAUGUUGCGAAUAUAGCUUUUGCUUAAGGUAACAAAGAAUAGGGGCUGUUUUUGGAUCCUCAA